UCAAAGAGGGCUAAAAUUCUGGACGGCCAUUUCUAUAUUCAUCCACCCUUUACCGUUUCUGUUCCCGCCUAAAAGUCUCAAUAUAUUGGGUCAUAAACGACUCUGGAAUUGUCAAAAUUUGGCAAUCUCUGUGGCACAUGAAAGGGCACAUGCUGUUCUAUCCAAUGAUGUCCUUUCCAUACCCAAAGAUGUCUGCAUAUAAUUUGUCCUUAAUGACCAAGGAAUUUUUAAGGGCACACGUUACUCAAUCCCAUGAUGUCAUAAAUGACACGGAGAUCGUUCAAAUCUGGCCAUUUCGGUGGCAUCUGAAAGGGCACAUGUUACUCAAUCCAAUAAUGUAAGUUUCGUAUUCUUGUUUGAUUUAGGGAUAUAUU